rnacentral:rRNA from 1 species
CCUACGGGAGGCUGCAGUGAGGAAUAUUGGUCAAUGGACGAGAGUCUGAACCAGCCAAGUAGCGUGAAGGAUGACUGCCCUAUGGGUUGUAAACUUCUUUUAUAAAGGAAUAAAACGAGGCACGUGUGCCUUUUUGCAUGUACUUUAUGAAUAAGGAACGGCUAACUCCGUGCCAGCAGCCGCGGUAAUAAGGAGGAUCCGAGCGUUAUCCGGAUUUAUUGGGUUUAAAGGGAGCGGAGAUGGGUUGUUAAGUCAGGUGUGAAAGUUUUCGGCUCAACCGUAAAAUUGCAAUUGAUACUGGCAGUCGUGAGUACAGUUGAGGUAGGCGGAAUUCGUGGUGUAGCGGUGAAAUGCGUAGAUAUCACGAAGAACCCCGAUUGCGAAGGCAGCUUACUAAACUGUGACUGACAUUGAUGCUCGAAAGUGUGGGUAUCAAACAGGAUUAGAUACCCGGGUAGGC